GUAAGUGCCAGCGCAUUUGGAAGGAAGCUAGUGCAGCUUUGAAUCGCACCGCUGCCCAGAACCGCCGCUUUGCGGAUAGGAAAAGAAAACGGGCUCCUGUUUACAGACCAGGUCAGGAGGUUUGGCUGUCAGCCAAAGACAUUGUCCUAAAAGCUGCACCCAAGAAACUAUCUCCUAGGUAUUUGGGACCUUUUGAGAUCCAGGCUAUUGUGAACCCCUCUGCGGUCAGGCUCAAGCUCCCUCCUUCUCUCAGGGUCCAUCCCGUCUUUCAUGUGUCCCUGCUUAAGCCUGUGAGAUCCAGUCCACUUUACCCUCCGGAUAAUCCCCCUCCUCCCGUCCGUCAUGUUGAUGGGGGCCCGGUUUAUACCAUUAAUAAGAUACUCGAUGUCCGUCGAAGAGGCAGAGGUUUUCAAUACCUCGUGGAUUGGAAAGGUUACGGCCCUGAAGAACGCUCUUGGAUUCCCAGAUCAUUUAUUCUGGACCAGUCGGUUCUGAGGAGAUUUCAUGCUACCAGGGCUUCAGGUUCACCUGGACCGCCAGGUGGCGGUCAUUGAGGGAGGGGUAAUGUUAGGAUUCAAGUUGGUGUGAGUGCUCUUCUAACAGACGAUCUUCGUGGGAGCGUUUCCGGCAGGCUGGCGCACCUGCAGCGGAUUCCCGCAAUCGGCUGCAGGAUUCUUAAGAAGCGGUGGAGCAGCUAUUCAUCGCUCGAUGGUCCCACUUGUUGAUCUCGAUCAGUUGUCUGGAUCAAGCCAGGAACCACGCCUAUCACAGCGCGCAGCAGCGGCUGCUCUUUGUCACCAGGACUCCUCCGCCUGCCGAUCGUGCCCCUGUCACUCUCGCAGAACCUCUGUGCCUCUUGGAUCCUUUCCCCUUCCUCAGCAACCCUGCAUCAGACGAACUAACCGGAGCCGCCCAACCGCUGCCGGUUCGAGAGUCAACCUGGAUUAGAUUUCAUUCAACAUUUAUUGUUAAAUAAAUAAUUUGAAUCAAGACUUUUCGGCCUUUGUGGUAGAACCUGCAUGUGGGUGAAAAACCUCAAAUCCAA